rnacentral:misc_RNA from 1 species
AAACAAUCUUGGUUUGAUUUCACACUUGGACCGAGUCCUUGGGUCCCUCAAAAUUGAUUUUUGCAGUAACAUCAGUAUUAGGAAUUAAAGCUCAAAAGUCCAAACCCUAAUGAAAUAAUGGCAAUGUCAGUUUCAGCAAGGACAAUUGGAUGUUUUUCAUCAAUGAACCGGAAACCAAAACAGCUGGAAUUGAAGGUACCGUUGUUCUUUAAUACUAGACGCUAUCAGGUUAUCAUAUUUUUCUUUGUACUACUCUUCCAAA